rnacentral:rRNA from 1 species
AGGAUUUGAUCCUGGUUCUGAAUAAACGCUAAUAGGUUGCUUUACACAUGCAAGUUGAAUGUAUAAACAUAGCGAACGGGUGAGUAAUAUGUAAAAAAACUAUCUUUAAGUUUGGGAUAAUUUAGAACAAUUUAUUGUAUAUUUUAAAAAUACCAAAUAAUCAAAGGAUUAUAUUAUUUAAUAUUAAUGUAAUUUGCUUAUAGAUGUAUUUGCACAGUUUUAGGUGUUUUUAUUUUAAUUAAUAAAGCCUUAGAUGCUUAGCGGGUUUUAACGAAUGUACCGCCACACUGGGACUGAGAUAAGGCCCAGACUCAAUUGAGGCAGCAGUGAGGAAUAUUGGACAAUGAACGAAAGUUUGAUCCAGCAAACCUAUGUGAGUGAUAGACAGCAAUUUAGUUGAAAAGCUUUUUCAUCAAAGAAGAUAAUGACAUUAUUUGAAAAAGAAGCCCCGGCCAAUUUCUGUGCCAGCAGCCGCGGUAAUACAGAGGGGGCAGGUGUUAUUCGUAGUUAUUAGGCGUAAAGGGUCCGUAGGUUUUUUAACCAGUUUUCUAAAAAAACCAAAGCUUAACUUUGGUAAAUAGUUUUAACGGUUAAAAUAGAGUUAAAAAGGGGGUGAUAGUAUUUCUAAUGUAGUGAUAAAAUACUGUGAUAUUAGAAGGAAUUUCAGUGGCGAAGGCGAUCACCUAGGUUUAUACUGACACUGAGGGACGAAAGCGUAGGGAGCAAACGGGAUUAGAGACCCCGGUAGUCUACGCUGUCAACGAUGAGUGUUAAAUAUUGGAACUUUUUCAGUAUUAAAGCUAACGCGUUAAACAUUCCGCCUGAGGAGUACGAUCGCAAGAUUAAAACUCAAAGGAAUUGACGGGAGUUUGGAACAGCGGUGGAGCAUGUGGUUUAAUUUGAUAAUACGCGGGAAACCUUACCGACUUUUGCAAUUUUUAAAAUUAAAUAAUUAAUAAAAUAAAUUUUAAAAACAGGUGUUGCAUGGCCGUCGUCAGCUCGUGUCGUGAGAUGGGUUGGUUAAUUCCUCCAAAACGAGCGUAACCCUCAUUUUUUGUUGUUUAAAGUUUUAAUGAAUAAAACUUUUAAAUUCUUUAAAAAAACUGCUAAUGAAAGUUAGAGGAAGGAGAGGAUCACGUCAGGUCAUCAUGGCCCUUACAGGUCGGGCUACUCAUGUGCUACAAUAAGAAAGACAGAAAGAAGCUAUUAUGUGAAUAAAAGCAAACCUUUAAACUUUUUUUUAAUUUGGAUUAUAGGCUGCAAUUCGCCUAUAUGAAAUUGGAAUCGCUAGUAAUCGCAAAUCAGCACGUUGCGGUGAAAUUUAAUACAAACUUUGUACAAACCGCCCGUCACGUUAGGAAAGUAAGUUAGGCUUAAAGUAUUUUUGUAUUUUAUAUUUUUAAUGGAUAAAUUUAAUUUCCAAUAAUUAAUAUUAAUAAAAGAUAUGAAAGUUUGAUUUAUAAUUG